rnacentral:misc_RNA from 1 species
UCUCCGUUGGUGAACCGGCGGAGGGAUCAUUACUGAGUUUACAACUCCCAACCCAUGUGAACAUACCUUUUGUUGCUUCGGCGGGAUGCCCCCGGCGCCUAGUGUGCCCGGGAAUCAGGCCCCCGCCGGAGGACCCAAACUCUUGUUUUUCUAUAGAGCUUCUGAGUGCAUUAUUUUAAUAAUUAAAACUUUCAACAACGGAUCUCUUGGUUCUG